AGUAGAAAUUGCCAGAAGAGAAUUUUUUUUUCCCCUGAAGUCUGUAACGUUAGACAAUUUCAGUAGGCAGUUCGCGUUAAGUGGGGGAAAUUUCAGCAGAAGCUAAUACAUCGCUGUAGACAUCCUUAAAGACACGUAUUGUGGAAGGCAAGAUCCAACACGAAGCUGAAGAAUGCUUUGUGCUUGUAUUUCAUUUUCCAGAAGGCCGAUGACAAGUAUACACAUCAUCUGCCUGCUUAGGUAUUUAUUACUGCGGAAAGUGAAGGAAACCGAAAACCAACUAGUCCAAAUGACUUGGUCAAUGCCGUUUAGUCAGGACUCAUACCUCAUCAAUUUGUGCUUCAGUUUAGCUGUGAACUCGGGUGAUGCCGCCCUGCCCAGAAAUCUCCCAGAAUGGUAAGGGUCAAAUAAAUUCUGGAGUGAAAGAUAAUAUCAGAGCAAACGUGUCAAGAAGCUGCAAAUGAUUUACUAGCAUUUGGGACUAGGAGCAAGUUUCCUGAAAGACAUUUUGGUACUUUCCUUAACCCUGCUGAAAGUAGGCGGUCGUUCACUUUUGUGUCUCGGAGCUUUUUCAGGAACUAGCAAGGGCUCGAAACAAAGUUGAAUUCCAGAAAGGUCAUUCUUAACCACGGCAAGGAGGUAGGAGGGCUUCUAAGAGUGUGGUCAGAGGCCUCAAAGUAGCUGAGUUCUCUUUCCCUCUAGCAUAGCGCUGAAGAACAGGGGUGUAGGAGUCAAACAGACCCAGUUUUAAAGCCUGAUUUCUUACCAUUUGUGAGACCUCAGGCAAUGCGUUGACAAAAAUGGCAAGCAAUAGCAUAUAUUGGAGAAUAUGAGGAAGCCAUUUAGUGUAAACCUAAUUCGGCCUGACCGUGUCUUUCCAAAAGGGCUUGACCGUGGCUGUUGAGCAUGCAUUGUAUAUCUGCUUUAGAGAUUCUCUAUGGCAAGAACAAAGGCCCUUGAGAUAAAGGUGCAACUUCCCUCCCCCUCCCAACGUUGGCAUUCCCUUAAGGAUUAAGCAUCUUUCCUUAGGCUAGGAACUGAUUGCUGCGCUCACCUGUGACCACCCAGCUCCAGACAAUAGGCUUGUCUCCUGCUAUGCCCUCUGAGAUAGCAGACCCACUACCUGCUGUGUCCAUCAAGCAAGCGCUGUGUCGACAGGGCAAUCUUGUGACUAUUGUGGGGGAGGGACAUUUCAAUCAUAUGUGAAACGUCCUGUAUGGGGGUAUAUAACCACUCUGUAUACGUCACUUCUUUGGUGCUCUUUCUUCCUUUGGGAAGAAAGGCCCUGGGCCAUGGUCCUCAGAUUACAGCUCAGAAUAAACUCACCCAAAUUUUCAUUUAUAGAUUGGUUAUGGAUUAUUUUCGUCGACAGCGUUUAACGUCCUGCGCCUUUGUUUUCUCAUCUUUAAAAUAAAGGAGAUAAAAGUGCUUUUCUGGGGUGCUCAUCUUCUGGGUCUCAGCUCCAUGGUCA
rnacentral:lncRNA from 1 species